rnacentral:ncRNA from 1 species
AUUGAAACGAUGAGAGGGAGAGUAGCUCAUUUUAUCCUUUUUAAGCGAGCCGGAACUGGUGAAAGCCCGGCAUAGGAGAAUAAGUGAAAAUCACCCUUGAGUUUUUUGCUGAAACAAUAUAGAAAGUAAGCAAAGACGCGUUAUUCACGUUACGAAUGUCGAGAGGAUAACUAGAAUGCCGGUUAUCUAAAAGGGUGGUACCGCGAGAAAACCUUCUCGUCCCUUAU